rnacentral:siRNA from 1 species
UCACAAUGUCUCUCAUGAAUGCCU